CAUCUAAAAAUAAAUAGGGUUCAUAUAAUCGCAGAGAUAUGGUCUGCAAGUUUCUACCGGACUACCGUAAAUGGUCUGACUAUGAGCAAGCGAACACCGAAG
rnacentral:ncRNA from 1 species